UAGAGGCAGAUCCAAAUUCAAAGAAUAAAGCUUUCCUUUGGUUUGUUUUUCUUUUGUUUUUGUCUCUGGAUGUGGCUCUGGAACAUGUGACUAUAUCCUGUGAAUUAUCUGAGCAGCUGAAGGAGAACGCCAGUACAGAAAGAGAGGCUGGAACUAGAGGAGAGAAAGAAGAUCCAAGACAGAAAGAGGGCAGAUGGCAGAGCAGAGUCCUGGAGGAAGCAGGAGAAUAGGAUUUGGUCAGAAGUGCACCUCACUCUUGGGACAAAAUGAAAGGAGCUUUAGGAUAUGGUGACUGUAGGUAGCUGAGAAUCUUCUCAUUGAAUGUCCCUAAUUUUUUGUGAAGCAAGAUUUGGAGUUAUUUUUUAAUAUGAAGAGUUAAAAGUAACUAAGGGAGUUUUAAAAGACGGUGCAAGCUUGAAAUUGGAAUAAAGGAACCAGGAUAAGGAUCUGGCUAGAUAUUCGAAUAAUGUAAUGGGAAUAGUGUGUCUUUCCUCGUUAAUCUAGACUUCAGCAAGAAGAAAAGGUAAUUUCCUUAAAUCUGUCCUUAGUCUGAUUAUGCAACUUCAAUCAUCUUAAUUCCUUAAAUCCACCUUACAGGAUAGCAAUUUGUUCAAAUAAAAAGGGUCUGAAGGAAAUAAAGCCAUAGGCCUGAAAGAAGUGCAUUACGUUCUGACCCACUCAGCAACCUACUCAAUUUUGCAUGAUUCAUCUCUGAGUGAACAUGAUGAUGAUAUACACUGUGUUCUCUUAGCUUAACAGUGUGAAGAGGUUGAGCAGAAAGAAACAAACAAACCUGAAUAUUUCAUGCUGCUCUCUGCUAAGUCACAUUAUGGAGUCAGACAACUUCCUUUGGAUUGUGAUAUAACAGCUGACCUGGAAAAUGGGAGAUUUAAAACAGUCAUCUCAACAGACACAGAUGGACUCACACUAAGGUCAGAAGCACUCAAACUGUGGCCCAGACUCUCUGGAGCGGAAGUCUCAAAACAUUUUGGGUUGCUCACUUUUGGUAAAAAGAAUCUGGUGUGUGUACUUACAAUAUAUGUGCAUUUAUUUAUUUAUAAAUGAUAUGCUUGUUUUAUUUUACUAAUGUAUAAUGUACAUUCUUAAAUAUAUAAAAAUAAACUUAAAAGGUGAA
rnacentral:lncRNA from 1 species